ACGAACGCUGGCGGCGUGCUUAACACAUGCAAGUCGAGCGGUAAGGCUCCUUCGGGAGUACACGAGCGGCGAACGGGUGAGUAACACGUGAGCAAUCUGCCCUUCACUUUGGGAUAACUUCCGGAAACGGAAGCUAAUACCGAAUACGACCACUUCACGCAUGUGAUGGUGGUGGAAAGUUCCGGCGGUGAAGGAUGAGCUCGCGGCCUAUCAGCUUGUUGGUGAGGUAAUGGCUCACCAAGGCUUCGACGGGUAGCCGGCCUGAGAGGGUGACCGGCCACACUGGGACUGAGACACGGCCCAGACUCCUACGGGAGGCAGCAGUGGGGAAUAUUGGACAAUGGGCGAAAGCCUGAUCCAGCAACGCCGCGUGAGGGAUGACUGCCUUCGGGUUGUAAACCUCUUUCAGCGGGGACGAAGCGAAAGUGACGGUACCCGCAGAAGAAGCACCGGCCAACUACGU
rnacentral:rRNA from 1 species